rnacentral:rRNA from 1 species
AUGUUUGAUUGUCCUCGGACCCUUUUAAAUGUAGCAGAUAAUAGUGGAGCUCGAAAAUUGAUGUGUAUUCGAGUCAUAGGAGCUGCUGGUAAUCAGCGAUAUGCUCGUAUUGGUGAUGUUAUUGUUGCUGUAAUCAAAGACACAUUGCCCCAAAUGCCUCUAGAAAGAUCCGAAGUAAUUCGAGCUGUAAUUGUACGUUUCACGCUGCUGUAA